GACGAACGCUGGCGGCGUGCUUAACACAUGCAAGUCGAACGGUGAAGCGCCUUCCUUUUUGGUUGGUGUGGAUGAGUGGCGAACGGGUGAGUAACACGUGAGUAACCUGCCCCCUUCUUCUGGAUAACCGCAUGAAAGUGUGGCUAAUACGGGAUAUUCUGGGUCUGUCGCAUGAUGGGUCUGGGAAAGAUAUUGUUUCGGUGGGGGAUGGGCUCGCGGCCUAUCAGCUUGUUGGUGGGGUGAUGGCCUACCAAGGCGGUGACGGGUAGCCGGCCUGAGAGGGUGGCCGGUCACACUGGGACUGCGCCACGGCCGAGACUGCUACGGGAGGCAGCCGUGGGGAAUAUUGCACAGUGGGCGAUAGCCUGAUGCAGCGGCGCCGCGUGAGGGAUGGAGGCCUUCGGGUUGUGAACCUCUUUCGCCAGUGAAGCAGGCCUGCCUCGUUUGUGGGUGGGUUGACGGUAGCUGGAUAAGAAGCGCCGGCUAACUACGUG
rnacentral:rRNA from 1 species